CGAGUAUCAAGCAAAGAAGAACACAAAAGGGGAGGGACAACGACUCAGGGUUAGGCGUGGUUGGGAUCGGCGGUACGUGUUGAGGAAACCGGUAGGCGUGGUUGGGAUUCGGCGGUACCUGUAGAGGAAACCGGUGUAGAGCCAGAUGCCUCAACACUACCCACAGUUAAACAGAACGAGGAGUUAGAAUCGUCUACUACUUAAACGGACAACACUAACCCUCGUUCCGUACAGCCCACCCCCUCGGUCCGGCUCCAACGUUGGUUCGUGGAGUGAAGUAGUCUUGUUGUCUCAGUUGUCCCUCGUCUAGUUGAGACUUUGAUGACUUUUCAAGGUUCAAAAGUCAAGGUUUAAAAUCGUAACCUUCGGAGUUCCGAGUGUAGCAUGAUCUCUAGUACGGCCAUCCGUUCAUCUCACUUACUUCCGUCUACAAAAAUCGUCAAUACAAGCGAUGGUUGCACAAUAGUAGAUGACUGUGAUCACAUCACAUUUUUUGCAAGAAUAUAAUACCCUGCCUCCCUCAUGAGGAAAAAAACACACGGAUGGUGAACGUCUUUUCUGACUAACAUGUAGUAGCUAAGGUAGACCUAAUACGGAUCCCGUGAGACCGGGGUGUAAGAGGUACUCGUUUAUCCACUCCUUCGGACUCACUCUAGGGUAGGAGCAGCGGGAUCACUUCUUUGGAAACGUCCUUUGGACCAUAAGGGAGAGCGGAUAGACGAUGCGGCUGGGCACACGUUCCUUCCCGUGAGACCGGGUAUCGGCUGUGAAAGUGGUACUCGUUUCUCCUUCGUGCUCGUUCUACGGUAGGAGUAACGGGAUGACUUCUUUGGAACCCUCCUUUGUGAGCAUGCUACGUGGACCGUAAGAGAGAGCGGACAGACGAUGCGGCUGGGUACACGUUCCUCCCUCGCUCCGGUACAGCUCACUUCCUUGACCCGCCUCCAACGUUACCCUUGUCGAAGCGACUGUAUUAUUGAUCUACUAAACUCCGACUCCUCUACCAUGCUGUUAUCUACUCCUACUACUCUACUUAUCUAACUAACACGUAAUGGCUAACCGUGAGAUCGGGUUUCGACUGCACAAGAGAUGCUCGUUUCUCGACUCCUUCGGGUUCGCCCUACGGUAGGAGCAACGGAUCACUUCUUUGAGACCCUCCUUUGUGACACUACGUGGACGUAAGGGAGAGCGGAUAGACGAUCGGGUUGGGUACACGUUCUUUUCUAACUAACAUGUAAUGGCUAACGUAGACCUAGAAGGAUCCCGUAAGACCGGGUGUCGGCUGCACAAGAGACGCUUGUUUCUCGACUCCUUCGGGUUCGCCCUACGGUAGGAGUAACGGGAUCACUUCUUUGGGCCCUCCUUUGUGAGUCUGCGUGGACGUAAGGGAGAGUGGAGAGACGAUGGGGUUGGGUACACGUUCUUUUCUAGCUGACAUGUAAUGGGUAACGUAGACCUAUACGAGUCCCGUGGGACCGGGUGUCGGCUACGUAAGAGGUGCACGUUUCUCGGCUCCUUCGUACAGAAGUAACGGAACCCUCCUUGGGGGACGGCAAGGGGACGGAUACACGUUUGACACUACUAAGAUAUGGUAGUAAAACAUACUUGAAGCUAUACGUUUUUAUCUACCAUCAUGUUCGCUCACAACAUUGUCGUUCUAUCACGACUAAAGCUAAACAGUUUCGACCUUGUUCGGUCAAGGGGUAAACAGGUACGUCUCAAGGUCUCUGUUAAACAUACUCUUUGCAUCGUCUUUGUUCUGUGCAAACAUACUAUUGUUUCUUAUGC
rnacentral:rRNA from 1 species